rnacentral:rRNA from 1 species
GAUGAACGCUGGCGGCGUGCCUAAUACAUGCAAGUCGAGCGAACAGACGAGGAGCUUGCUCCUCUGACGUUAGCGGCGGACGGGUGAGUAACACGUGGAUAACCUACCUAUAAGGCUGGGAUAACUUCGGGAAACCGGAGCUAAUACCGGAUAAUAUAUUGAACCGCAUGGUUCAAUAGUGAAAGACGGUUUUGCUGUCACUUAUAGAUGGAUCCGCGCCGCAUUAGCUAGUUGGUAAGGUGACGGCUUACCAAGGCAACGAUGCGUAGCCGACCUGAGAGGGUGAUCGGCCACACUGGAACUGAGACACGGUCCAGACUCCUACGGGAGGCAGCAGUAGGGAAUCUUCCGCAAUGGGCGAAAGCCUGACGGAGCAACGCCGCGUGAGUGAUGAAGGUCUUCGGAUCGUAAAACUCUGUUAUUAGGGAAGAACAAAUGUGUAAGUAACUAUGCACGUCUUGACGGUACCUAAUCAGAAAGCCACGGCUAACUACGUG